UGCCUAACCUGCAAGUCGAACGAACCCUUCGGGGUUAGUGGCGCACGGGUGCGUAACGCGUGGGAACCUGCCUUUAGGUUCGGAAUAACUCAGAGAAAUUUGAGCUAAUACCGGAUAAUGUCUUCGGGACCAAAGAUUUAUCGCCUUUAGAUGGGCCCGCGUUAGAUUAGAUAGUUGGUGGGGUAAUGGGCCUCCAAGUCGACGAUCUAUAGCUGGUCUGAGAGGAUGAUCAGCCCCACUGGGACUGGAGACACGGGCCAGACUCCUACGGGAGGCACAGUGGGGAAUAUUGGACAAUGGGCGAAAACCUGAUCCACCAUGCCCCGUGAGUGAUGAAGGCCUUAAGGGUUGUAAACUUUU
rnacentral:rRNA from 1 species